UACGUAGGGUGCGAGCGUUAAUCGGAAUUACUGGGCGUAAAGCGUGCGCAGGCGGUCUUGCAAGCCAGGUGUGAAAUCUCCGGGCUUAACCUGGGAACUGCACUUGUGACUGCAAGGCUGGAGUACGGCAGAGGGGGAUGGAAUUCCGCGUGUAGCAGUGAAAUGCGUAGAUAUGCGGAGGAACACCGAUGGCGAAGGCCAUCCCCUGGGCCUGUACUGACGCUCAUGCACGAAAGCGUGGGGAGCAAGCAGG
rnacentral:rRNA from 1 species